rnacentral:rRNA from 1 species
UACCAGCUCUCCGAGUGGUAGGGAUGAUUAUUGGGCUUAAAGCAUCCGUAGCUGGCUGGGCAAGUCCCCUGUUAAAUCCACCGAUUUAAUCGUUGGUGUGCGGGGGAUACUGUUCGGCUAGGGGACGGGAGAGGCCGACGGUAUUUUCGGGGUAGGGGUGAAAUCCUAUAAUCCCGGGGAGACCACCAGUGGCGAAGGCUGUCGGCUAGAACGCGCCCGACGGUGAGGGAUGAAAGCUGGGGGAGCGAACCGGAUUAGAUACCCGGGUAGUCCCAGCUGUAAACGAUGCAGGCUAGGUGUUUGGGCGGCCACGUGCCGCUCUAGUGCCGCAGAGAAGUCGUUAAGCCUGCCGCCUGGGGAGUACGGCCGCAAGGCUGAAACUUAAAGGAAUUGGCGGGGGAGCACCACGAGGGGUGAAGCUUGCGGUUU